CAUUCUUCACCCAUACUCUCCUCCCCGCACCCUCCACUCCUCAAACGCAAACCACUUCGCCAUCCCCAUGACUAAGCAAAAAACCUGGGGGGACCGAGCCUUCUCUCACGCCACCCCCCCUCUCUGGAACUCCCCACCUCAACACAUCCGGGUCUUGCAUAUUUGGAACUGAGAGUCGCCGCUUGGAAUUGAAAUGGAUUUACAUGGGACAGAAGAAGUGAACUCUUAUUUUCGUCAGCUUCUUGUUGACUUUGAAACUUAGCUUGUAGCCGACGUGUGCACAUUUUGAGCAUGACGUCUCUGAUCCACUGGUGAAAGGACACUUUGAUUCUCUCUUUUCAUCUCAACCUGCUUCAAACAACAAAGUGUAUGCAGAAAAGUGGUCAAGAUUGCACAACUGUGUUUUGUGUUAUGUUAUGUGUUGUGUUUAUUAUUUUACUUUAUAUGUUACCUGUUUUGUUAAGCGCUUUGGUAUGGCUGCAGCUGUUGUGAAAGUGCGAUAUGAAUCAGGAUGUAUUGUAUAGUAUUGUACCGUGAAAAGCACUUUCAAAUAAAAUGCAUUGUCAUAAAACAUCCACUUACCUUUGUCUCGAGCCAAACGUAUACACUUGGCUGUCAAAUACUGGAUCUGACCAUAAUCUUCA